GGAGCUUGCUCCAUGAUUCAGCGGCGGACGGGUGAGUAAUGCCUAGGAAUCUGCCUGGUAGUGGGGGACAACGUUUCGAAAGGAACGCUAAUACCGCAUACGUCCUACGGGAGAAAGUGGGGGAUCUUGCGACCUCACGCUAUCAGAUGAGCCUAGGUCGGAUUAGCUAGUUGGUGAGGUAAAGCGUCACCAAGGCGACGAUCCGUAACUGGUCUGAGAGGAUGAUCAGUCACACUGGAACUGAGACACGGUCCAGACUCCUACGGGAGGCAGCAGUGGGGAAUAUUGGACAAUGGGCGAAAGCCUGAUCCAGCCAUGCCGCGUGUGUGAAGAAGGUCUUCGGAUUGUAAAGCACUUUAAGUUGGGAGGAAGGGCAGUAAGUUAAUACCUUGCUGUUUUGACGUUACCAACAGAAUAAGCACCGCGUAACUUCGUCGCAGCACGCGCGGUAAUACGAAGGGUGCAAGCGUUAAUCGGAAUUACUGGGCGUAAAGCGCGCGUAGGUGGUUCGUUAAGUUGGAUGUGAAAGCCCCGGGCUCAACCUGGGAACUCGAUCCAAAACUGGCGAGCUAGAGUAUGGCAGAGGGUGGUGGAAUUUCCUGUGUAGCGGUGAAAUGCGUAGAUAUAGGAAGGAACACCAGUGGCGAAGGCGACCACCUGGGCUAAUACUGACACUGAGGUGCGAAACGGUGGGGAGCAAACAGGAUUAGAUACCCUGGUAGUCCACGCCGUAAACGAUGUCGACUAGCCGUUGGGAUCCUUGAGAUCUUAGUGGCGCAGCUAACGCAUUAAGUCGACCGCCUGGGGAGUACGCCGGCAAGGUUAAAACUCAAAUGAAUUGACGGGGGCCCCGACAAGCGGUGGAGCAUGUGGUUUAAUUCGAAGCAACGCGAAGAACCUUACCAGCGCUUGACAUGCAGAGAACUUUCCAGAGAUGGAU
rnacentral:rRNA from 1 species